CAUAAAACCACGGUACCAAGAUAGGCCUUGUGUCUUGUUUUGUAUUUUUAAUUACUUUAAUCACUUCACUUGAAGUGGAAGCUCCACUACUUUGGCCACUUGAUGUGAAGAACUGACUCAUUAGAAAAGACCCUGAUGAUGGGAAAGAUUGAAGGCAGGAGGAGAAGGAGACAACAGAGGAUGAGAUGGUUGGAUGGCAUCACUGACUCAAUGGACAAGACUUUGAGCAGCUCUGGGAACUGGUGAUGGACAGGGAAGCCUGGCAUGCUGUAGUCCAUGGGGUCGCAAAGAGUCGGACACAACUGAGCGACUGAACUGAACUGAAGAUAGGCCUUGUGUCUUGUUUGUAUUUUUAAUCACUUUUAAAAGAUUUACUAGAGUAUCAAAGAGUAUUCACCCUGUUAAGAGGCUUAGUACACAUCCACUGAUAUUCAUUUUGUGAAGACAUUCAGUGCUGGUAAAUUCCAUGAGCUGCUAGCACUGAAUAGCUCAUUAGAAACAGAGCCAGAGUUUAAAUUCAGCAGUGUUUUCCCACUUUAUUAUUACCUAUUUCUUUCUUUUAUGUCUCCUCUAUGAACAUCAUUGAUCCAGGCUCUAAGAGGAAAGACUUAUUUCUGAAGUGCAAUCUACAGAAGCUAUGUUGGAAUAACCAGGGUGAGGCCAAAUUUUUCCUGCUGAGGGAUUUUGCCCCAGAAGCCUUGCCCUUUACAAUGCCACAAUGAGCCUUUGUGGCAUUCCUUGGGGAAAUGAUCAAGAUGCUCAUUUCCAUUUCUGGGCUAGUGCGGUGCUUUGGGUGGCCCUGACAGAAUGAAGAGGAGAUUUGGGUUGAAGAGUUUAAUUCUUUUUUGCUCAAGCCUUGACGUGGUGUCAAUGGGCCAGGAACAAACAGCACACAACUUGUUGACUGUACUAUGAAGAUUUCUUUAGGGCAUUCAGAAAAUGGAUUGGAAAAACUGGAAUCAGACAUAAAGCAACAAAAGAUUUCCCCAAAGGUUAGAGGGACCAUAUGUUCCAAUCUGCCUGAGACACUUCUCAUUUAUCUGUUCUUGCUGGAAGAACUAAUAAUUAACACCUUCCCUUUUGGCUUCAAAGGUGUGCUAGUGUGGACUCUAACCUGUAUGAUUACCCUAUCAAAGUUUUUCUUUUUCCUCUCGCAUUGUGUCUCCUCUCUCAACGACUGAAUCCUGAGUUGGAAAUCAAGAUUAAAAACAACAUCUGUGCCCCCUGGACCUUUAAUUUCCUGAGCAGUGCUUCUAGCCCUUGUGGAUUUUUCUAGCCACAAGCUCCUGGCUGUGUUGAGUCCAUGUCUGGCUGAACUGUGCCAUCCACUCCAAGGGUUUUUUUUUUUUUUCUCUUGGGUCUUUGAUCCCUUAGUUUCAGCGUUCAGCUGGCUCCUCUGAUUCUUUCCUACAGGAUGUGAUGUUUUGGUCCAUCUCCAUUGAGUCAUCGGUCAGGCCUGUGGAAGGUUGGGUUCCACCUGUCGUACAGGUGAACAGGUUCCGAGUCUCCUUUUUUCCUCUUCCUCUUCUUUCACCAACCUGUAUCCUAAGGAUCUUUGAUAUCCAGAAUUGUUAUUUUCUUCUGGGAAUGCUUUGCCAUAUGGAACCCAGCAGGCAUGCAGACAGGAGUUGGCUCCAACUUUUUGACCUGUUCUUCAAGCAGGGAGACCAGCUUGGAUGAAGGUGGCCUCCAGCAGAAAGAAAAAAGAAAAUCCUAGCACGUUCCCAUAGAUUGUAGGAACAACCCUCCCCACUUGUCUACUUCUGGGAAGAUAGAGUGUGUUGAGGUAUCAAGCCCUUAACUUCUUCCCUCACACCUCCCGGAGCAAGCUCCUCUUUGAACUGUCCCAGUUGGAAGGACGCAGCCCAUGUCAGCGGUCAAGAUCAUGAUCUUGGAGUCAGAGAGCUCUGGAUUUGUUCUUUGCUCUGUGGCCUCAGGCAAGUUACUUUAUUUCUAAGUUGCCUUCCUGGUGAAAUGACAAUAUCAAUUCU
rnacentral:lncRNA from 1 species